CUACGGGAGGCAGCAGUAAGGAAUAUUGGUCAAUGGGCGGGAGCCUGAACCAGCCAUGCCGCGUGCAGGAAGACGGCCUUAUGGGUUGUAAACUGCUUUUGUCGGGGAAUAAACCUGUCUACGAGUAGAUAGCUGAAGGUACCCGAAGAAUAAGCAUCGGCUAACUCCGUGCCAGCAGCCGCGGUAAUACGGAGGAUGCAAGCGUUAUCCGGAUUCAUUGGGUUUAAAGGGUGCGCAGGCGGAUUAAUAAGUCAGUGGUGAAAUUCUAGUGCUUAACAUUAGAGCUGCCAUUGAUACUGUUAGUCUCGAGUAUAGUUGGAGUGGGCGGAAUGUGUCAUGUAGCGGUGAAACGCUUAGAUAUGACACAGAACACCGAUCGCGAAGGCAGCUCACUAAGCUAAAACUGACGCUCAUGCACGAAAGCGUGGGGAUCAAACAGGAUUAGAAACCCGUGUAGUCCG
rnacentral:rRNA from 1 species